AUCAGUAGCUUGUUACUUUUUAUGUUUGACUUCUAUUCUGUUACUUACCUACACCAUAUUUUAUCUAUCUCUUCUGCAGUUUAUGGGAUUUAGGUCGUUUCCACGUUUUGGCUGUUCUAAAUAAUGCUGCUCUGAGCAUUCACAUACAAGCUUUUCACAUGAUUUCAUUUCUCCAGAUCUAGGAGUGCAAUUGCUAUAUUAUAUGGCAACUCCGUGUUUCACUUUUUGACAAAGUGCCAGACUGCUUUUCAAAGGACAGCAUCAUUUUAUAUUCCUGCCAGCAACGUCGAGGGGUCCAGUUUCCACACAUUCUCACAAACACUUACUGUUAUCUGUCUCUCUAGUUAUUGCCUUCCUGAUGGAUGUGGAGUGCUUUCUCAUUGGUUUUGAUUUGCAUUGUUUAAAUGAGUUAUAAGAUUGAGCAUGUUUUCAUGUUUAUUGGCUGCUUGUAUAUCUUCUUUGGAGAAAUGUCUAUUCAGAUUGUCUCCCCAUUUUAAAAUUGUGUUAUUUUAUUUUUUACUAUUGACUUGUGAAUGUUCAAACAUGUAUAUAUAUAUAUAUAUAUAUUUUUUUUUUUUUUUUUUUGAGACGGAGUCUUACUCUGUUGCCAGGCUGGAGUGCAGUGACACGAUCUUGGCUCACUGCAAUCUCUGCGUCACGGGUUUAAGUGAUUCUCCUGCCUCAGCCUCCUGAGUAGCUGGGACUACAGGCGUGCACCACCACGCCCGGCUAAUUUUUGUAUUUUUAGUAGAGACGGGGUUUCACCAUGUUGGCCAGAAUGGUCUCAAUCUCCUGACCUCGUAAUCCACCCACGUUGUUCUCCCAAAGUGCUGGGAUUACAAGGUGUGAGCCACCGCACCCGGCCCAAACAUAUUCUUAUACAAUUCUCUUCUUAGACAUAGGGUUUGAAAACAUUUUAUCUCACAUUGUAAUUAUUUUUUCAUUUUCUUGAAAGUCUACUUUGAUACAGGAAUAUUUGUGAAUUUUAUGAAGUACAGCUUAUCUAUAUUUUCUAUUAUACUUGUGGUUUUGGUAUGAUAUCUAUAAAAUCAUUGCCUAACCCAAGGUCACAAAGCCUCAGUCCCAUAUUUUCUCCUACGUGUACUAAACUUUUGGCUCUUAUAUUUAGGUCUUUGAUCCAUUUAGGGUUAACUUUUAUAAAUGGUGUGAGGGAGGGGACUAACUUCAGUCUGUACAUGUGAACAUCAAUCUGUCCCAGGACAUUUUUGAAAAGACUAUUCACUCCCCAUUGAAUUGCCUUGUCUCCCUUGUCAAAGUCACAACAAUUACUGUCCUCAUUUUUGUAUCUAGUCACAUGUUCCUAGUUAGUAACUAUAACUACCUUCUUCUACUACCCAUUCUGUAUUCCCUUAGCUUUCAGCAAGCAACUCAGUUGGUCUUGAUUCUUUAUAUGGGGCAAUGACCCAAACUUUCCUUCCUGAAGGAAUUGGGCCAUUGGCAGCUGUGCCCGAAUUGGGUUGUUGUAGUUUUCCAUUAAAUUAAUCACAGGGCAUGAUAGUAGGUAGCACUGAAGACACUCUAGGAGAUCCCAUGUAUUCCAGAAGUAUUAUUUCUUAGUUCUGUGGAGUAGAAGCAAUUAACCCUUGGUAGUCAGGAUCAACCACCUCUGCCAGCAUGGUAACUCCCUUCUUUGCCUGUCUAUUCAGAGGCAUGAGGAGCUCAGAGUGGACAGGGACUAUCUUAACUUCCAGUUCAGUAGAAUCAUUUCUUUGUAUCGUGGGGGAUGCAUUCCUCCUUUUGGGACCAAGACUUCUAGACCAGCAGAGCAUAAAAUUGAGGGACAGGAAAUGAAAAUUUUGCUGGUGUGUCACUAGGGGUAAUAGUGAUGAUGAGAACCAACUGGUGUGGGAGACCAUGAGUUGGAUAAGGCACUCUGUAAGUCCAGACAGUAGUGUGAUUUUUAUGAAGUACAAUUUAUCAGUGGUGAUAGGAACAUUGAGGGUAGGAGGGGAAAUUCUCAUACAUAGUGUCUGUUUCAGUGAGAACAAGACACUGCCUCUUCUAUGAUGGAGGUGGUUCAGAGUCACAGCCAGGUUACCUUGGGAGUGGAAGUCCAUGUUGCAGAGCCCAGGCAUCACCUCCACCCCUGCCACCAUGGCCACUGUAUUCAUGAGCCCAUUGAGCAAUGACAGGGGUGGCUGGGGAAAGAGGCUGAGUGGUGUCCACAGAACAGGUCAUCCUAUCUGCUUGAUUAUUGAAAUCCUUCUCUACCAAGGCCACCCUUUGGAGAGCAUUUACAUAAUACUCAAUGCACUCUUGCUUUUGGUUUACUCCUUUACUAGGUGAAACCAGUCCUAGUGGCUCAUAACUGGGUUUUCCUAUCAUACUUGUCCUCAGUCCAUAGGUGAAACAACAAAUGUAGGGAUGCUGAAAGUUGCUGAGUAUGUGUCUAUUCCAACCACAGGGUGGGUUCAGGGACACAUUGGAUCCACUGUGAAACAGACAUGAGCUCACACUCCAUCCACCAGCUAACCUCCAUAAGUCCCUACUCUGGUGGACCACAGUGAUGUUUUUGGUCUCUGGGAAUUCCUGUCAAAUCAGAGCCAGUGUCCAGUAAUUCCCCAAAUAUCUGAGAAUUUUCUUUUCUCUAAGUCACAGUCAUCCUGGUAGAAGGCUGUAGGUCCCUUUGGGGAAGACUGGGAAAAAGAUUAACUAUGUAAGUUUUUGGCAACGUAGCAGCGUACUUCCCCAAGAUCACCCAGCCUCCCCUUCACUUAGGGGUUGUGGGCCUGUGAACUGGCUCAAGUCUGGGAAUUGAUUGAGGGUUUAGAUCUGUGUUUCAUUAAUUUGAGUUAGUCUUUUAUUCAGUUGACCUAGAAUUCUUCAUUUUUUAAAGAACAACUAAGACUUUGGUACAGCCCAUUAGCUCUCCCCGUGGAUACCAUGGACUACACAAUGCCAUGGGUUUCUGUGAGUCAAACCAUUCUGACUGCUGCUUUGACACUGCUUUCCACUGUAGUGACCACACCCACCUCAUCUUUGGUGAUUAAGGACAGCCCAUGUUCCCUGCCACCCCAGGAUUCAAUUAUCCUCAUUUUAUUUAAAGAUCCCAGUCCAGUGGCUGCAGUUGCUGCUGUAACAUUUUGCCUACUGAGAGCACGAGCUCAAAGCUCUUCCAGGAUACUGGGCUCCUCUCACAAUAUUCUUUCUCAUGAUCGUUGUGAGAAGUAUGUUCUGUAGACCCUCCAGUGUGAGUGAGCAGGUCUGACAUAAUAAAUCCAGUCUCCCUGAGUUUUUGCAUACCUUCCUGUACACAUAAACCAAGGAAGUUGUGACAUCUCAACUUUAUGUACCUUAGGUAAACUCUGAUUCUGUUUCAGCCAACCAACCAAGUAACCAAACAAAUAAGCAAACAGCCAACCAAUCAACCAACAAGCAAGCAAGCAACAGACCAACCAAACAAGCAAGCAAGCAAGCAAGCACCAACCAACCAAGCAAGCAACCAACCAAGUAACCGAUCAAACCAACCCUUGGAGCCCUUUCUAAAGCUUUGACCUACAACCCUGAAUCCAGAAUCUCUGUUUAGUGGGCCAACAUUAAUAAAUUUAGCCUAAUCCAACUUUAUGUUACUUCCACCAUGGUGGCACACACUUAAUAUCCAUUCCCAUGUAUAUUCUCCAGAUUUCUUUCUGUAUAAAUUGUGUGUGUGUGUGUGUGUGUGUGUAGAAAGAGAGCAUCAACUGAAAAAUCACACAAUUUUAUAAAUUUAGAAAAGAGAGCUUUAUUUCUUAUAAAGGUUUGCAGCCUGCAAGGUGGCCAUUAUGACAGGCUGGGAAGUGUGGCCUACAGCCAAGGCCAGAGGCAGGCCCUUCCAGGGAGGGAAGGAGAGGACGGGAAUUUGAGCCGAAUGAGUUGACUACAUGUACAUACUCAAUAGGAUAUCAGAGGAGCUAUAUCAUUUUAUGAGAAUACUCAUAAAAGAGGUCCUAACACAUGCAUAUUGAAUAAACAUGCAUGUUCAUUCUGGGGUGGAGACUUGACAUUUAAAUGUGUUAUAAUUAGGCCCUACACAUCAAAAAGUGAAGCAGGGAAUGAAGGUACUCAGCCUCUGUAAAGGCACAGCCUCUAAAACUGGCCAGAACCAGUCCAUGGAGGAUGGUCUCUUAUCAGGAGAAAGUUACUGAAAUCAGUCCCUUGUCCAGUGAAAGCUGUCGUUAAGGUCGGUGGGGCAGGAGAUCAGUUACUCAGUGUCUGUGAACUGGGUGAGUUGUAAUUGUUUUAAUCUUGCUUCUCUCAUAGCCAGUGCUUGCUUGGCUGCUAGAGAAAAAUAAAAACUAUGUGGUAGUUAGAAUCUAGUUUAUUCUUUAAGAGUAGGGUACAAGACUUAACCCUUGCCUGGCAUGGCCCUAGGUCCUGUUUAUAAUUUGGGGUCUUGUUGCCACAAAGAAUCUGUUCUGUCAGUCUCAUGAUCUCUAUUUUAACAUUAAUGCUGUUCAGUUGUUGGGUCUAAACCAUAAGAGGGAGAGAGGUACAGGGAGGUAUGUCUGACCUCCUGUCCUGUCAUGGCCAAGAACUGAAUUUUAAGAUUUAUUUGAGGUUCUGUUGGCCAACAGGGGGUCUGCUAAGUUGGGUGGGGGGCUUAGGAUUUUAUUUUUAGUUCUCAAGGGAGAUGAAAUACUUUAAUCCAUUGGCCCCAGUGACUAUUGGACUAACAUGGCUAUGAUCUGUCAGACAGACUUCAGGCUGGCACCCAGGCAAAAUUCUGUACUGUAGUAAAUGCAUCAUGCACAUUUGUAACAACAUGUACAUAACAAUGUCACAAAAUACUUUCACGGUGACACCUAGAUUAGUGUUCUGUUGAAUAGCUGAUGAUAUAAACUGGCUCAUUUGAUGCCAAGACUGUCCAUCACCACCAUACCAAGGUCAUCACUGAUCAGAGGCCUAACCCAAGGAGGGGGUCAUGUGCAGACCCAGCUGUGGGGAGGAAAGAUGCUGCAGAGGAGACGGAUGCCCACAGAGGCCCCUGAGCGGAUACCAUGCUCACUAAGUGGGCUGACCCCACAUUGGACACCGCUGCAUCCAUGUCCAUCACACAACACAGCUGCCGUUUCUUCUGCCUGCUUAUGGGAAAGUCCCCUCUUCUCCUCCGUUUUCUUCUCUUCCUGCCCUAUCACACCGUGCACUUCUCCCUUUCCUUAAAGAACCACCAUCAACUUUAGGAGGAGGGAAAGGGGUGGCUCUGGCAGGAAAAGCCAGAAUCCCCUCUAGCCAGCAGAGAGAGAGGAAUGGCUGCAUGUUUUCUCCCCCAGUCCAAGGCACUGGGUCUUGGCUGGGUUGCAGGUUCCAAGCUGCUCUCCUGCUGUGUCGGUGAGUUCUGGCCAACCUGCAACCUCCUGAUGUGGCCAUUGCAGUUCAUCGAGUCUUCAGGGACUCCCCAUGGCCUGGAGUACUUUGCCUUGCUUACAUGGGAGAGGAGAAUGGAUUUAUAGAGAACAUCAUCUAAAUCCAACUUGACCAUUGUGUGGCCACACUUGCUAGAUUGCUAUAGUCUAAAUCUAGCAUUGUAGAAAGACGGGGGAGCUUGGAGCUGCGCAAACCCAGGUCUGGAUGGAACUGGCUCCUUAGCUUGGAAGGUGAAUGAUCCUGGCAGGACUCUUAGCCUCCCUGGGUCUCAAUUUCUUUAUCUGUUUCAUGGGAAUGAGGAUCUCUGCUGGGUGGUUGGGUGAUGUGGGGGCUGUGUGAAAACAGCUUGUCAAUACAAGCCAAAAUAGAAAUAUUUCUCCACAGAGUAUGAAGGUCAAAUGAGAGAAUACAUUUAAAUUAAAUGGAAAAUUAAAAUGGUAAAAAAUGCAAAGCUGUAUUGAAAGUUCCGAGCUUCUCUAUAAGGAGCUUUUUGACUAUGUAAGAAUCCUGUACUCGUUCCCCCUAAAUAUAAAAAAAAAGUUGAAGGAGGCAGAAGGGAGAGUGAUGCACGAUGGGCAAGGACUUCACCUGCUGUUGCUGGCUUUGAGGAUGGAGGAAGGAGGCUACAAACCUAGAAGUUGGAGCCCCUAGAAGCUAGAAAAGGCAGGGACCCGAUUCUUUACUUGAGCCUCCAGAAGGGACACAGCCCCGCCAGCACCUUGACUUUAGCCCGGUGAGAUCCUCUUAGGACUUUUGGCAACCAGAACUAUAAAACAGAAAUGGAAGCCACUGAGUCUGUAGCUGUUUGUUGCAGCAGCAAUAGAAAACUAAUGCAGAGCCCAAGAAAUCACUGGUGAUGAGAUCAGGAAAGUGGGCUCAGGAGGUCUGGAUCUGUGAUGAGAUGGGGGAAGUGGGCUCAGGAGGUCUGGAUCUGUGAUGAGAUGGGGAAAGUGGGCUCAGGAGAUCUGGAUCUGUGAUGAGAUGGGGAAAGUGGGCUCAGGAGGUCUGGAUCUGAGUUGGGGAUCUGGAGUGGAAGGGGAAUUCAUUUGUUCAUUGUCUAUCCUUUUGCAUUGAUUGAAUUUUUUUCUAUAUAUAUAUGUGAAUUUUCACAAUAAAAU